rnacentral:rRNA from 1 species
AUUGAACGCUGGCGGCAGGCCUAACACAUGCAAGUCGAACGAGUAGCGGACGGGUGAGUAAUGUCUGGGAAACUGCCUGAUGGAGGGGGAUGACUACUGGAAACGGUAGCUAAUACCGCAAACCAUCGGAUGUGCCCAGAUGGGAUUAGCUAGUAGGUGGGGUAACGGCUCACCUAGGCGACGCUCCCUAGCUGGACUGAGAGGAUGACCAGCCAAACUGGGACUGAGACACGGCCCAGACUCCUACGGGAGGCAGCAGUGGGGAAUAUUGCACAAUGGGCGAAAGCCUGAUGCAGCCAUGCCGCGUGGAUGAAGAAGGCCUUCGGGUUGUAAAGUACUUUCAGCGGGGAGGCGGUACCCGCAGAAGAAGCACCGGCUAACUCCGUGCCAGCCGCCGCGGUAAUAC